rnacentral:SRP_RNA from 1 species
GCUGGGCAUGGUGGCUCAUGUCUGUAAUCCCAGAACUUUGGGAGGCUGAGGCAGGCGGAUCACCUGAGGUCAGGAGUUUGAGACCAGCCUGGCCAACAUGGUGAAACCCUGCCUCUA